rnacentral:lncRNA from 1 species
UGCACGCGCGUCCCUGUCCCCGGGCCCGGCAGCCGCUCCCUUUUAACGGGGGGAGGGGGCCAUUGUUCUCGCCUCCCGCUUCCCCUGGAGCCAAUCAGCGCGUCCGCAGCUCCUCAGCCUGGCAGGGUGGGAGGGCGAUGGGGCGGCCAAAAGGGGGCCGGGACUCGGGGGUCGCCCGGUAGGUGCGGCAGAUGUACCUGAGGGCGCGGGGCCCCCGCGCGCGCCCCUGGUCGCCCCGCCCGGCGCCGCCGCCCCGCCCGGUCCAGGCACACGCCCGGCCCCGCCUCCCUUCACGGUCUGCUGCUUCUCUAUGGGGAGGCGCACGUGCCUGGGCUUUGUGUCUCUCCUCCGGGGGGCGCGGAGCCGCCAAAUGGGCCCGUCCAUCAGCGCGACAAUGCACGCCCCCCUCCCGCGCGGGGAUUACCCGCGGGUCGCUAGCAAAAUAGCAACAAAGGAGAAGAAUGGCCCCAAAUAUGUCAGGAGGGUUCAAUCCGCGAGCCGGAGCCGAGGGGGAAGUUGUGCGCGCUGAUUGGGUGGGGGCGGGGGCGCGCCGGGGCGGUGCGGGGGAGAUCGUUGCGGAGGCGCAGUGGCUCCGCGUGGUGUUUGGGAAAUAAACAAGAAUCCGAGAGAGCAGCAGGGUCCGGACGGCCUCCGCCCGGACCUUGGACGGAUGGGCCGCUGGACCCAAGAGGCCAAGCAAAAGGGUUCCCCGGGGUUCCAAGUGUGGACAGGGGGCCCGGCCUUCUGGCAGUGGCCGAGGGCGAUGUUUGUGCUCGCAGCCUCCGCGCGCCCACGGGGCUAGAGAAGGUUUCUUUCGAGUUUGAGAAGGAAUUGGCACGGCCUUCUCAGUCUCCCGAAAGCGCGGGAUUGGAGCGCGGGCGGGCUGGGCUGGGUUCCCAGAGGAACGUGAAUUUCUGAACUUUUGGGUUCUUGGAGGCUUGGGAAUGGCAUCUUUGGCGGGGCCCGACCCAGGCCGCCCGGAGCUUCCGCGUGGUCCAAGGCUCGGUUAAUCCGGGUCGAGUUGGCCGAAGCCCGAAACGCGCGGUCGGCCUCGUGCGCCCCAGUGAAGUUGGCUUUCUCCUCCCCGCGCGGCCUCAUGCAUUUUCAUUCCGAGCGGGCAUUUUGUUUGCCGGUUGACAUCAGAUGCUAAAUCAAGGGCUCCAAUCAAGGCGCUGCGAAAUAAAGGGGCUGCCUGUCUGGGCGCAGCCCCCACGGAGCCGUGCCCCCUUCACCUUUGUGAAGGAAAUUAACCUCCUGCUAUUGAGCUCCGGUCGCGGCCAAUCUGGACGCAAAAGAGACGCGUGCUGGACGGGGGGAGGGGGGGCAAUCUGUACUCUGAGGCAGGCUGAGGCCUCCGAGAGGACAAGCCGCCUCCCCUGUGCCACCAGGAAGAGACAACAGCGAAGAUUCCCCCCGCCCCCACCCCCACCCCCACCUCCGCUGCCGUUCCGUUUGGACCCAGACUGGGCCGCCUGCCUCCAUCCUCUGUCCAGCCCAGCCCCGAGGAAACACAAAAGGCAGAAUCUUCGGGGGACAGGGCAGAGAACCCCACGAGUGCGUAGUGGCCCUGAUCGUCCAACACUGGGGAACAAAUAGCCAAGCCACAUAAAAUGUCAUAUGCUGUGAGGAAAAUGUCACUUUAUUGAAAGAGAAGGAAACAUUUUUCUGCAAAGCUUUGUAUACCAGACAGAUUUUGCUGAGUUUUACUUACGCUUAAUUCCACUGAAGGUAUUUAAUUGUUUUGGAUUUUCCCUCUGAAAAUACCCUGGCGUAGAAAUUAAACAUGUAAAAAUAGAGUCCACAUGAGUCAUAAGUUGUGAUGGGGACAGUUGUUAGGCUUAAUUAAUUAAGGGGUUAAUCAGGUUGGUUAAUCAAGGGAAAGAUAUUUGAUAAUUUUAUGUUUGUAAUAUUUUAACUCACACACUGAAAAGGGAAGAAUGCAUAUAGUGAAAUAUAUUUUGAAAAGUCUCACCCUAGUUUUAAAAAUGCUGUGGUGAGUGCUAGUCUCCCCAAAAGUUAGAAAUCUUAAAAUGAGUUUAUCUAAAAUUUAUAAACAUAUUUCUAUCUAAAAGUAACUGAUGUUAUUUCCUUGCUCUUUUGAGCUCUGAUUAAUAGUGCUGAUGAAAUUAGAAGUGGGAAAAGGAUUCCGAGACAGCUUUGGCCAAUUUUAUUUUCUAAUCACGAAUCCCAUCUGGAUUGUAGAAUAGCAUAGGGCGGGGGCUCGGCCUGCCCCAUUCGGUCUUGCAUAUGUAACACUCCUUCCAUUCAACAGAUAACAGAGAGUUAGUCACCUUGUGAAUCCUUUAAAAAUAACAACACCCAUAAUUGUAAAUAAGCCGUGGGGAUGGGAAACCGGCACCUCUACCAACAAAAAAAACAAAACAACUCCUGCGUGAGUGAAUUCAAACAGGGCUCUGAAUUUAGCCAAGGGAAUCUAUUAAACGCUACUGAGAUACUGAGAUUCAAUGAAUCCGUUUCUUUUUCUUUAUUUGUGGCUUCCAGUCUUGCUAGCGUAAAUGAAAUCUGCUUUCAGACGGGUACAGUCAAAAUAAAUGGAAACUUGAAAGGUACUAGUAUUGGAAACUAAUUUCACCACCCGGGGCUGGAAGGAGUUAGGCUGCGCACGCGCGCACGCACACACCAGCGACCUCCAAGCAGGUGUAGCCCAGCCCGGGCCGUGGAUCGCAGCCGCCUUCUGCGUGAUUUUCUCAGAACCUGUGCACCCGCAUGCAUGGGGACAUCGGGUCGAGAUAUUUGUCUUCGCCUGGGAAGAGCAAAGCGCCAUCACAGUGCGCCCCCGACGCCGGCCUUGGCGCACGCGAUUCGGAGAAUGGGCCGCGUGAAGUUAAGUUGGGGGAAACAGCGCGGAUUUGCCCCCCUCCAGGGGGGCUUCGCGAAAGUCAGUGAACAUAAGGAUCCAAGGCAGAGCACCCAAGGGGCCUUCCCCGGCUUCAGGUGACUCCUCCCCUUCCUUCGGGGUCCUGGCCAGCGCUUUGGAAAAAUCCCGGGCCUCUUCACUUUCCCUUGCGGACCCCGCGGUGGGUUCUUCCUCCGACGACUGCGGAGCCCGAGGCCCCAGGCCCUCCAAUUUCUCCUAUCCUGGUGUGCGGGGAUGCCGUCGGGGAGCGCGCCGGGGUUCACUCUGACCCUCACCACGGCUGGAAAUCAAAGUCAAGGCAACAGGGAGUUUGUAGAAAGCGCGAAGCUUGGAAAUAAGAGCAGAAGCGGGGAACUUCUGCGGAGGAGUUGGCUCCUUGGGGUGUCUAGGAGAACAGGAGGCCCUGGCCUCACGGGAGGAGCCGGGCGGGCCCGCAUUCUCACCCCGCAGAGGGUAUCGCGUUUGGAGACGUCGGCGUUGGGGGUGAGGUGUCAGCGCCCCUCAUCACCACUCUGCUGCAGACUUCUCUUCUGGCUUCACAGAAGCCCCCACUCCCGGCCCUCAGUCCCCCGAGCCACAACCGGCAGGAACCGUGCGUUACCGCUGCAGUGCCCGCCGCCCGGAGGGACCAGCGCCUCCCUGCGCCGGGUGCGCCCGACCCGAGCCGGUGAGAGGCUUUGUAUUUGCAGGAAUGAGGGGUUGUUGUGUCAGUCCCAGGGGCACGCGAGAGACACGCGCAGCCCGCCUGGCCGCCACCCCGCCCGGCCCGGCCCCAGGCACCUUCCGGGCCUCCCGCCCGCGGGCCGUUGCCUUUGUUCGGCGCAUUAGCAUAAAGCUGCCAGGGAUCUCCCGUUUAGAUAAUUCCACACAAAAGGAGAGUGCAUGAAAGAGAGCGAACAAGGGACGAUCCGCGAGGCUGCGUCGUGCGUCCUCGCGGGGAGGGACCGCGCUCAAGUAUUUCCCUCCCCUCGAGUUUCAAGUGCCCCCUGGCAAUCUGCUGCGCGCCCAUUAUUCGGCCGGGGGCCGACGGCGUGGCUGGCCACCUCUUUUAUCCCCCCGAGAGUACCGUCGGGGCCACUGCACGCUCCUUGAAGUGCCCUCAGGGCUGUUUGUUUUUGCCUCAGUGGGACCGUCGGGCCAGGGAGGGAGGAGAGCGGGUAGGAAGGCCCGGGCGGGCGGCGGGAAGGGCGACGUCGGCGAAAGCUGGCAGAGGCGAAGCCCAGAAGGUGAGAAAGUCAUAACCAAAGAAUUAGGUCAGGGAGAGUCAGGACGGCACGGGACCCAUCGGGAUGACAUUGACCUUGGGGCGCAAGAGGUGUCCUCCACCUGUGAGGUGCUGGCGGCCGCUAGUCCGUGCGCCUCGGUCUCAAACGGAACUGACAAAACCCAGCGAAACUGACCAGAAAGGCUGCGGCGACCCCGAUCCUUUCCCCUUCCUCCCACCCCACUCACACCUGCACCCCGCCUCGCCUGCCGCAGGAGGACGAAGAGGCAGCCAGACUCCUGGGGUCCACAAGGGCAUACUUUCUACCCUGGCGAGCGUUCUUGCUAUGGGGUUGGCGGGUGCUCCUCCCCCCCCACCGCCGUUCCUCUCUCCUCCGCCUUUCCCUCUUCUCCCGUCCCUGCUCUCCUCCCUCGCCCUCUGGUUCCCUCCUUGUGUCAUCCGCCUCCUCUCCCUCCUCCUGUCCUUCUCUCUCCUUCUGUCUCUUCCUUUCUUUUCUUUCCCCUCCUUUCUUGCUCCCCACGGUGUCACCUCUCCCUCCUUCUCCUCUCUCUCCCAUCUCUUUCACUCCUAAUCCCCCCCCCGACCUGUGGUGUCCCCCCCAUAACUGGCCCCCUUCUUCUCUCCCAGCCCCUUCUUCCCACUGUCCCUCCCUCCCCAUCCAGUUCCCCCAGCCCUCUUUGCUGUCUUUCUGCUCCCCUCUCUCCUCUCGUCCCUCUCUCCUGUCUCUUCCCUCGCUUGUUUCUGUCUUCUCUCCCUCUCUUCCCCCCCACCUCUCUCCCAGUCUCCCAUUCCUCUCCCCUUCUCUCUUUCCUUCUCUCUCUCCCCCCUCCUUUACUCUCCCCCCACUCUUCUCCCUGCUCUUACUCUCCCCCCACUCCCCACAGGCCAACGUGUGUUAUUUUAUUUGUCUAGAGAGAGCCUAUUUGUUCAGUGAUGUGUGGCCUCCUGGUCGCCUGCUUUAAUGGGGGACGCGGAGGCUUGGUUUCUGUGAGCAUUAGCAUACAGCUGCGGGCUCUGCGCCCCUGCCGGCGCUCACUUUAUCCCAGCCUUAUCAUCACUUCUUCUUUCAACCAGAAAACAAUCAACAGCUCCUCGCACUCGGCGCUCAGCGACUUUCGAGCCCUGCUCCCUGCUUCUUGGCUAACACUGGCUCACUCGGAUGCGCACCCUCUCUCUCUCUCUCUCCCUCCCUCCCUCCCUCCCUCCUCUCUCUCUCUCCCUCUUGAAAGGGUAAAUAUUGAUUGGCUGGCUUUACAUUUUAUGCUCCAUGCCAUAUUUCCUUCCCUCCCUCACUUCAUCGUUGAUUUUUCUCUUGCCCUCCUGUGAUGUUUGAGUGUAGUAAAACCAUAAUAAGCCAUUUUUGGAAAGGCGGUGGUUACACUCUUUAUUAAAAACUGACAUCUGUUGGGAGAGCAAUUAGAGGCAUCAGAAGGCGGGGUUGUUGCAUGUGAUUUGGGGGAAUAAAACUUUGGAAAAUUAACUUUGGUAUUUUCUGAUUAAUAUUCUUUGCUUAAAACUGUAGAAUUCCAAGAUCAGGCUUACAGCCCAAGAUGUCCCCAGCUCAGCAGCAAGUGCUGAAAUAUGUAGAGACGCCAAGCAUUCAAUCCACUUACGGAAUUCAUGCCUUGUGCAAGCCAAGUCCAAAUAUUGGUCUGUUUCAAGCCCUUCCUUUUAAAAGCCAGGCUUUAUCUUCACCGUUAUUUUCCCAAAGCCCUUAGAAUAGUCAAUUGCAAGUUAUAACCAACAACUCUUGAAUUCCUCUUUUAUUCUUAGGCAACUUGUUCAGUGAUAAAGUUUUCAAGUCUGAACAGAUAUGCUAAGAUUCUUAGAUUCAGGAAAUUAUUUAGCAUCUAUGCUAAAUAGCUUGUAAAUUACCCACUUUCGAAGUGUGAGAUAAGGAUUAAAAUAAUGUCACCCAAUAUACUUUGUACACUAAAAUAUAUUCUAGAUAUUUUCAAGUCUGCUGUGAUACUUAUGGAGCACUAACACUCCUUUUUCAAAAGGCAGCAAAGGAAAACUUACUGUCACAUUUAUGCAUGAUUUGGUAUUAAGGUUGACAUUGUCAUUUGGGGUCACUUUUAUGUGACUGGAGGCUUUUUAAUGCUAAUACUUGGUCACAGAAGUCAUAACUGUUGAUCCUCCGAGAUUGUUCUGUUAAUCUGCAUCCAGGGGUCCCAGGACCUGUCACAGAAACUUACUCCUUUUGCUUAUGAGUUUGACCCAGGUCCUUUCAGGGGAAUGGGACAGGGGAGGAGAGUUGCUUGAGCUGACUCAUUCACCAGCCCCUGAAAUAUGGUUCCACGUGUGCUGGGUCUGAAUUCUGAAGAGUGGACCAGUAGCAAUUGUUCCCCAUUCAAGUGACACAGUGUGUACCAUAUGGCCAAUGCUGGACCCUCCCCCCAGUGACCCAUGCAUUUGCGGAAAACGUGCAUGUGAAGGAAUUAGGAGCAUUUAUUGCUUGCUUUUGCCUGCCUUGGGAAAAUCAAGAGUCCAGUAUUCUGGAACAAUUUUAUUUUGCAGAAAUAUCAAUAUCAAAUAACUUUGCAGUUCCAACAAGUUGGCAGUUUGCAGCAGAGAGUUUGAUAAUGUGUACACAGUGCUGUAAUGCCAGCUCUGACUUUCCUUCUAAUAGUUGUGUAUCCCUUAUCUUGUGCCAACUUUUGCUCAACAUUUACAUAAAAUACAACACAUGAAGAAAAAACUGGAAUUGUUCACAAAAACCAGUUUUAAGCCCUGCUGUGAAAAAUUGUGUCACACUGUCUACUGAGAGACCCAAUAAAUGAGCACAAUCUUAUGUGUUGUUCCCCCUCAUUCCUGAAUCCAUGCAGUUAGUUACUAGUGGGCAAUUAAUUUGCUUUAUUUAUAAGAAAAAGGGUUUCUGAUCCACAUUAGAGUUGACAUGUACUAGGGACCCCUUCACCCCGCCCCCCUCAAUGCAAAGCAACAGUGCUAAGGAUCAAAGAAAAUGAACUUUGAUGAACUUCCCAUUACCACGUUACCACGUUCUAAUCUAAAACCUAUGUGUGAACCCCUUGAGCACCCAACUUUUCUGUGACUUUAUGCUCCUCAUCUGCAAUUUGAAACAGAAAUACAGCCUCCUCCUUUCCAAAGGUCAUGUAAGCUUUCCUACACAAUCACUGCUUCUUAUGUUGGACUGCAGAUUUAAUUUCUCAUCAUCUGUUUACUAAUUUUCCAUUCUGGGCACAUUUUCUUUUUUAUCACCCACAAGUACUGCUGGGUAAACAUGUGAAGAACUAACAAGACUGGCAGCGGAAGUUUCCAGGAAAUCAAACAGAAUCACACCCAAGGUAAAA